GCCCGAAAACUGGCACUCCAGUCGGUAGAGCACGAGACUCUUAAUCUCGGAGUUCGUGGGUUCGGAAAGGCCACGUUGGGCG